rnacentral:rRNA from 1 species
GAUGAACGCUGGCGGCGUGCCUAAUACAUGCAAGUCGAGCGAACAGACGAGGCGUUUGCUCUUCUUACGUUAGCGGCGGACGGGUGAGUAACACGUGGCUAACCUAUCUAUAAGACUGGGAUAACUUCGGGAAACCGGAGCUAAUACCGGAUCAUAUAUUGAACUGCAUGGUUCAAUAGAGAAAUAUGGUUUUGCUGUCACUUAUAGAUGUAUCCGCUCCUCAUUAGCUAGUUGGUAAGGUAACGGCUUACCAAGGCAACGAUGCGUAGACGACCUGAGAGGGUGAUCGGCCACACGGGAACGGAGACACGGUCCAGACGACUAAGGGAGGCAGCAGUAGGGAAUGGUCGGCAAUGGGCGAAAGCAUGACGGAGCAAGGCCGCGUGAGUGAUGAAGGUCUUCGGAUCGUAAAACUCUGUUAUUGGGGAAGAACAAAUGUGUAAGUAGAUAUGCACGUCUUGACGGUACCUAAUGAGAAAGCCACGGCUAACUACGUG